rnacentral:sRNA from 1 species
GGAAUGUAGCUACCGGCGGGCGGCGGCCAU